UACCAUCGUUUAUACGAAUGAAUUACCGUCAACAGGGAAUGUGAAAAUUAGACAAAUUGACUGAAUGUGAUGUCAAGUGGAAACGUUUAUGAGGGAGAAGUCCGUUCACCGUUUAAUAAAGGAGAGAAUUUCUUAUCUGCGAGCUUUACUACUUCAUGCCUCAGCAAUACCCCUGGGAAUACGACGUUUUGACAGUCGUUUAUAAACCACAUUUUCUAUCUUUUGUUGUGUUUUAUGUUCCUUCCUAUUUGUUGUCUUUCAUUGCGUAUAAUUUUCCCAAGUCAACACUAUAUCUGCAGUGUUUAUAAUAACUUGUGUAUGUUGUGCCAAUUAAUUAAAAAACACAAAAUAAACAUUUUUCACCCCAAAAAUAUAUAUGUAGAAUUUUUCAUACAAAUCAAGUUUAAAUCAAAAUUUGAUUGAGAUCGGCCCAUUUUAAUGCUAAAAAAUCGCUGAAACCGAGCGAAAUUUUGACGUAAAUUUGAUUUAAAAAA